AGCAGCCGCGGUAAUUCCAGCUCCAAUAGCGUAUAUUAAAGUUGUUGCAGUUAAAAAGCUCGUAGUUGAAUUUCGGAAUCUGUCCGUUGGUCGGGCUUAACUGUCCGUACUGAUGUGAUGGGUUCUUACCUUCUGAAUAACCAUCAUGCCAUUAAUUUGGUGUUGGGGAAGCAGGACUAUUACCUUGAAAAAAUUAGAGUGCUCAAAGCAGGCUAGCGCCUGAAUACAUUAGCAUGGAAUAAUAAAAUAGGACGGCAUGGUUCUAUUUUGUUGGUUUCUAGGAUCACCGUAAUGAUUAAUAGGGAUAGUUGGGGGCAUUAGUAUUCAAUUGUCAGAGGUGAAAUUCUUGGAUUUAUUGAAGACUAACUUCUGCGAAAGCAUUUGCCAAGGAUGUUUUCAUUAAUCAAGAACGAAAGUUAGGGGAUCGAGGACGAUCAGAUACCGUCGUAGUCUUAACCAUAAACUAUGCCGACUAGGGAUCGGACGAUGUUAAUUUUAUAAUGGCUCGUUCGGCGUACCG
rnacentral:rRNA from 1 species